CUAAUUCCUUCUAAUGCUAGACAUGUGCCCAAAUAUCAGCUUAUUAAAAAUAUAUCUGACUAUGUUGGCCCACCACAGUCAAUUACUAACUUAAGGCAGAUGAAAUUUAUAAUUCCUAAUAACGAAAAUGGAAUCAAAGAUAUUGGUAUAUUCACAAUACUACCUUUACAAUA